rnacentral:rRNA from 1 species
UUUUUACGGUAAUAACCCCUUUAGGUUCGAGGGCUGAAAAGUACCGUAUGAAUAAGUUCGGCUAAUUCCGGGCCAGCAGCCGACGUAAUACGGAGGAUCCGAGCGUUAUCCGGAUUUAUUGGGUUUAAAGGGUGCGUAGGCGGCCUUAUAAGUCAGGGGUGAAAUACGGCAGCUCAACUGUCGCAGUGCCUUUGAUACUGUAGGGCUUGAAUCUAUUUGAAGUGGGCGGAAUAAGACAAGUAGCGGUGAAAUGC